rnacentral:rRNA from 1 species
CGGCGUGCUUAACACAUGCAAGUCGAGCGGAAAGGCCACUUCGGUGGUACUCGAGCGGCGAACGGGUGAGUAACACGUGAGUAAUCUGCCCCUGGCUUUGGGAUAGCCACCGGAAACGGUGAUUAAUACCGAAUAUGACCACGUACUGCAUGGUGUGUGGUGGAAAGUUUUUCGGCCAGGGAUGUGCUCGCGGCCUAUCAGCUUGAUGGUGAGGUAAUGGCUCACCAUGGCUUCGACGGGUAGCCGGCCUGAGAGGGUGACCGGUCACACUGGGACUGAGACACGGCCCAGACUCCUACGGGAGGCAGCAGUGGGGAAUAUUGGACAAUGGGCGGAAGCCUGAUCCAGCAACGCCGCGUGAGGGAUGACGGCCUUCGGGUUGUAAACCUCUUUCAGUACCGACGAAGCGCAAGUGACGGUAGGUACAGAAGAAGCACCGGCCAACUACGUGCCAGCAGCCGCGGUAAUACGUAGGGUGCGAGCGUUGUCCGGAAUUAUUGGGCGUAAAGGGCUCGUAGGCGGUUUGUCGCGUCGGGAGUGAAAAAGCCGUGCUUAACACGGNGCUMGCUUUCGAUACGGGCAGACUAGAGGUAUGCAGGGGAGAACGGAAUUCCCUGGUGUAGCGGUGAAAUGCGCAGAUAUCAGGAGGAACACCGGUGGCGAAGGCGG